ACAGCAUCGACGCUGUUCUCUUUAUUGCUUCUUUACCCAGCAGGUACCAUCCACCGUCCAGGUCCACUCUCCACUCUCAACUAGUGGCCAGAAUCUCUCCUCUCUUUUUUUUUUACAUCUUAUCUCUACACCAACCACUUUUUUGGCAUGGCCCGAGACAUUGGAAUUAGGAGCAUCAAACGCGUAUUUUUUUUUUUUAAUUAUUAUUAAUAUAAAUGUUUGGAUGAACUUGGACGUAAUUUGAUUAAUUUCAACAUAUUUUAAAAUUAAUUAUUAUAUAAAUUUUUAAUAAUUAUUAUAUUAAUAAUCAUAGGACUUAAAAUUAAAAUUUCAAAAAAAACAAUCUCUUUAAUUCCAAGAUUUUACCGCAGCCCACCCAGUAAAUGGUUUCAAACGCGUCUUUUUGAAACUGGUGUUCAGAGGUUAACAAAAGCACUUUAUGUAAGAAGUAAUUUUUUCAAAAAUCAUAUCCAACGCACUUUGCUAGUUAGCUUUCUUUGCCUAUAUUAACACCAUCUAGAAAGCCAUCGUCUUCAACUUGCUCCUGUCUAUGGUGUGUAAUAGAUGAGAGAAACGGAGAGUCCUAGCAAGUCUUUGGAGAUGGGAGAGUAUGCAAGAAGGAAAAAUUCAUGAUUUAAUAUUCCUUCUUGCCUACUCCUCCCAUUCCAUCUGCUUUCUGCGACUCCUCUCUUUCCUUAUUCUAGACAAAAGCGUGAUCUAAAAUUAAUCAAGGAGCAAGAGGGAAAGGAAAGAGGGUUGCUGGGAGUUACGGGUAUGGGAGGAUUGGACAGUACUGCUUGGUUUUAAUUAACCAAAGUCUGUUCUUUCCAACGCCUCCCAUACCGGUAAUCUCCAGCUGUUUCCUCCCUUUCCCUUGCUUGUCCUGCUUCAGAUCCUUCAGUUCGGUAAGAUCUGUCCUUGUAUGCUUGUCGUUGGUCACAUGAUGAUGGUGGUGAUGCGUGCUCUUCUUUUGUUUUUUAAAAAAGAACAUCCUUUCGUUGACUUGUUAAUCUUGCUUUUACGCGGGAUAUUGUUACAUGUCUUGUAUAAUGAUUUUUAUUAGCCCUUUUUUUAUGCUCAGGUGACAAAAGCGAGUUGUUGGUUAUGGAGUAUCGUUGAAAAGAUUAGAGGAAGUUUUGAUCUGUUGGUAGAUCGGAGUAAAUCAUUUGUCAAUACAGCUAGAUUUAAUAUUAGCAACUGAUAAAUCAUGUGUUUUGAAAUGACAACUGUGAUAUUCACAACAUAUCUGUUCGCGCCUCUUCGAUUCCGGGGAUGCUGUCUCAGUUAGUUCUAUACUGCAGUGCUUAAUUAGCUCUGAUGUUCCUUGAUUUGUUCUUUGAAUUUGGAAUUUAUUUUGAGCAUCUGUCCACGCGUUUCUUCUAGUAUGGAUGACCCCAACAUGAUUCAUACGAUGGGUGGAUGAAAUCAUAUCAUACGGGUGUGGUCAGCUUUGUUUCUGUGAGUAAGGUGCAGAAGUUUGAAGCUUUAAUGCUAUAUGAUUCUAUGGCUUGAUGUGUUUUGUUCUGCUUGCUAUCGAUGUGGAUGAUUCUGUCAAAUAUGAAGUUCUUCGAGAUUUAAAUAUUCAGACUUAGAGGAGUGACACACCACACCACCACCUAUAACUGUGUCUGUGAUCAUCGUAUCUAAACAACGGAUGCAUCAAUGGUCUGUUAUUUUAUGAGGAUAGUGUGAACUGAUUGACUUUCAAGAUUAAACUGUUGAUUAUAUGUGGUCUCCUGGUAUAUGCCAAGGGGUGGUCUACUGCUCAUACGUGAACGCCCUAGUCUCAAUCAGUUAUAUCGAAAUUAAUGUUUUUAACUAACAAAAAUAGUAAACAGACAUGGACGCAUUGGCGACUUUGAUUUUCAAUUAAAUAACGUAGUAUUUUAUUCAAUCUUAGUUUGAUCAAUUAAAAAUUGGACAAAUAUCCACUAAAUUGAAUAUAAUUGUUGUUUCUAUGAAUUAUCACUUUCUCGUUUCUAUUAGAACACAAAAAUUCAAAACAGACGAUCUUGUUCUUUAUUUUUUUGUAAACCACGUACAGGAAAAUAUUAGGGACUAAACAGUGACUUUCUCAUCUCGGAACUUUAAUCUGAAAAAGGUGAAGACGAAGAAUUAAGAAUUUACCUGAAAGAAAUACAAGCUACGUGCCCCUCUUGCAAAUGAAGCUUUAGAAAAUUUGAGAUGUAUCUUCGAUGUCAAAUAGAAAGGUGUGUACAGUGACAGAAGGGUAUGUUUGUGAUUUAAUAGUGAUGAUUGUUGGUAUUUUUUAUUUAGAAAUGUAUUAAAAUAAUUUUUUUUAUUUUUAAAAAUUAUUUUUAAUAUUAGUAAAUUAAAACAAUCCAUAAAUAUAUAAAAGAAAAUCAUUUUAAAUAAAUGUUUUUUUAAAAUUUAAAAAAACAUAGUUUAUACCCAUACCAAAUAUUCCCAACAAGUUUAGCUGAUAAGUUGCGCGUGUUUCUUUAACAUAAAUGUAUACAUGUGAAUUUGCGAAUUUUUCGAAGGUUGUGCUACGCAUUUGAGCAAUCUUCACUAUUUUUUUGUGGUGUUAUUCUUACUUGGUAUAAUCAAUUGAAUUGUGUUAUUGGAGGUCUCAGAUGAAUGACAACGUAUACUCAUUUUAAAGGGUGUUUGGUAGUAUCUUCUGUCCCCAACUACUCGUUUUAAAGGGUGUUUGGUAGUAUUUCUAUCCCCAACUACUUGUUUUAAAGGGUGUUUUCUAUCUACAACUACCUCUUUUAAAGGGUAUCUGGUGGUUGAAGUUAUUUCUUUAAUGUAUUUUACUUUGAAAUAUAUUAAAAUAAUAUUUUUUUUAUUUUUUUAAAAUUAUUUUUAAUAUUACCACAUCAAAAUAAUUUAAAAAUAUUAAUUUAAAUAAAAAAAUUAAUUUUUAAAUACAAAAUCAAAUCCACUCUUAAUUUAAAAUAAAUUAGUUACCGUUACAGUGAAUAAUUCGGUCAUUUCACGAUCAUAUUGUACGAUUUUUUUUCUUUCGUCAAGGAAUCCGAGGUCCGUGCCUUUCAGAUAGGCGUUGUUGGGCUGGAAGGAUAAAAAAGGAGGAUGCUUGCAUAGAGUAUGUAAUGUAUGACAGGAGACGGGAUUUUAAUCAUGGCUUCGUAAAUUUUUGCCCCAUUCCUCUCGAUUACAAGCCUUGUCUGUGGGCUAUUGGCAUUUGUAUUGUCUAUUGAUUAGUUUUUAAUUCAUAGCGGCUUAUAUUAUAGUUUACAAACACAGUAAAGCAAUCAUAGAAAAAAUAAAUUUUUUAAGUGAAAAGUACAGCAAGUUUUAACCCUAAAUUCAUAAUUUAUUAUUAUAAAAUAAAAUCCAAUAAUAUAUCUACUCGAGAGAUUUAUAAUAUCUUUUAUGGGAUAUGAAAAAGCAGUAAUACUAUCACAAUUCUAAGACAUAAAAAAAUAACAUAAAAUCUGAAAUAACACAAAAUAAAUCUAGAAAAAAUAGUGAAACAGACAUUCCAAGCCUAUUUUUGGGAAAUUUAUGUAGUGAAUAAAUUGCUAAAGGGAGUCCCGAAUAUAAUUCAGCUUAAAAAAUCUUGUAUAAAAAUUUGAGUCUCAUCGAGUAAAAAAUAAUGGUUUUUAAUUGCUAUACUAGUUUGACACAACUUGCUCUUUUCUUGAGAUAACCUUGUUCUAUUAAUCCAUAAAAAUAUAUUAAUUCAUAAAAACAUAUGUUAGAUCAUCUACAUGGUCUCUUUAAAGUAUAUCCCUAUCUAGUUAUAGCAGAUUUUGUUAGGGCAUUGCGUAGCAAGAAAGCUUUGAGGUGUGAAAAUUAUUAUAUUUAAGAUAUUAAUUGUUUUCACUAUGUUUGUUGCAGGGUUAAAGUAAUAUAAUUUAAGGGUACAACAUGACCUUGACAUUUAUAGACAACAACUUAUAUAAGUUUUUAAAAAUUUUUGUUUUAUUUAUAUGAACGUAAAGAAAGAGUUUGUGGAGAAAAAAUAAGGAGAAAAUAAAAUUGAUUUCUAAUUGAUUUAUGUCGAUGUCUAAUUGAUAUUUAUAAGAAAAAUAAUAUCACUUUUGAUCAUCAUGUUUAUAAAAAUUUAAUAUAUAUAUUGAUUUUUCCUUAAAAUCUUCUAUUCAACAUCUAAAAUUAUUGAUUAGAUAUCACUCACUUUAUAAAUUACAACAAAACCACAAUCAUUUCCAUUAUAGAAUAAAGUUAUCUUUACUUCCACGAUAUCCAAGCUAUUAUAUAAAAUACUCACCAAAUUACUCAUGACCUUCCGUUCCGGGGGACUCGGGUGCCACUGAUUUUAGGCUAAGGAACCCUCAUGACAACUUUAUAAGGAUUCGAUAUUUUGGUCAAAGCUGACCACUGACCAGUGAAUGGAUUAUAUUAUUUUAAUAAAAACUUUAAAUAUUUUAUUGCUCCCUUUCUGUCGUGGAUCUAUUUCUUUAUCAGAGAUGGUGUCAGGUCCGUCCGGCUAUGUUGAAAAUUUGUUUUUCCAGCAUUUUUCUUUGCUCUGGAGGAUUAGGUAAAGGCGUAAACUAAUUGUUGCUUCCACAGAGAAGAGACGUUGUCUCAAGCUAUAAUACAUAAUUAUGGCAUUGAAUUACGCGAUGGACUUACUCAACUCUUAUACUUCAUUUAUUAGAGUGAUGAGAUUGGGUAGGAGCUUGAAUUAGAAGUCGGUGCUACUCCACAGAGCAAUGGCUUCCUGUUCUCUGGGCCGAACGUCGAUUCAAUUACGAUUAUCAUCAGUCCUGGCCAUCUUCGUCUUGCAGUUGGUCUUUGUAAAUGCAGCAGGGCAAAAUACAAGGAUGCUAGGAGGGAGACUCAAUGAUCUAAGCCCUCCUCCAAGUCCAAAACCAGGCAGGCUACGACACAUGAUACCUCCCGAGAUUCCACCAAGUACCCGGACGUCACCGCCGUCGCCCCCACCCUCUCAUUCGUAAUGAGUGCUAAACACACGAGCUCACUUAUUAUACAAUUUGUACCACAGUCACGAUUUCUAGCUUUCGCUUUUUUGUUCUAUGGUUUUAUGAUGGAGCAUAUUUGAUGAGAAAAUGGAUGUUUUUGUUGGAAAUUCCAGUUAAACUUGGUAAUCAUGUUUUUAAAAAUUCAAGCAGUGUAUGAAUAAAGUUCUGAUUUGAAUAA